UUAGCUGCCUGCUAAACACUAAUACAAUCCAUAUGUUCAUGGAGAAAAAAACUCCCCACCAGAACGUGAGGUUGGUCGGGCACACUUGAGUGAGUCUGUCCAACCCUGAGACCUGGAGAGAAGACGAGACACAGACACAGAGGAUGCCAUGGAAUGAUGAAGGCAGAGGUUGGAGAGCUGCGUCUGCAAGCUAAAGCGCAGCAAGGAUUGUUAGGGAGCACCAGGCCGGGGAAGGGGCAAGGAGGGCGCCUCCCCUGGAGCAUCUAGAGGGAGGGCAUGGCCCUGCGGAUAUCUUGAUUUUGGACUUGAAGCCUCCAGAACUGUGAGAGAAUACAUCUCUGCUGUUUCGGCCUUCCCGUGCGCAGUACUUGGUAACAGCAGCCCCAGGAAACUAAUCUGGGGACUAGGUUCGGUGUGGGAAGGAGUAAUCAAGCUGAGUAAUUCUCCUGCUGGUCAAAAGAAGUCUAGGGUUACCUAAUAAGUCUGGUUGUGUCCUACAGCUCUAAAGCCGAACUGAAGUGCCACAAGCAGUGGCUGCCUUGGUGGCCAGCCCUCUAAGACUGGCCCUUCUUAGCAUUAUUUCUUGAUCCACAUAAAACUGUAGUGUGGUAUCCUAUGUCCAUUUUACAAGAGAAAGAAUCUAAGGAGUUGAUAGGUUAGGAAACUUGACUGUGGUCGUGCAGCUGGUAGUGGUCAGAAUUCAAAGUGUAUCCUUCUUUCACUGCAUCGCACUGCUUCGCAGCGUCUGAAGAUGCCUUCCAAAAAUGUCUGAGCAAUAGACACAGCUCCAAACUAAUGGUACAUGCCCGAGGGGGAUGGAUUUGCAGAGCAGCUCCCUUGAACAGUAAGUUCUGGUAUUUUCGUUUAAAAGAUCCCUGUCAUUACUGUACAGCCGCACCUUGUCUACAUUAUGCUGGAGUCUUUGCCUGCCUAACAUAUAUUCUCUCUCCCCCAGGAGGGACAGGGACUUCUCCAUCUCGUACAGGACUGAAGAAUCUGCCGACGCUUGGUAAAUGAUCAGAAUCCAAGCCAGCACAGCGACCCUACAAAUUAUGACCUUUAGGCUAGACAACUAAGAAAGAUGUCCAGUUGUGCAAUUUUCCACUCAUUUACUAACCUUAACAGUGUGGGUCACGUUAGUCCUAGUUUAAUAUUAUAAUCCAAAUGUUUGACUCUGAACGCAGAGCGAGGCUCAGGAGUCACCCGGGCCGUGCGUCCUAAGACAGCUUAUGGUAGCCGGUCGGGCUGUUUUGACCUUUCCAGUAUUUGCAGACUGGCUGGUCUCUUUGUCCCCCUCUGCCUACGUGGCUCUUACCACCUACAUAACAAUAGAACAAUGGUAACAUUUUAAUUUUUUUCUUUUUUCUUCUCUUUUUAAAUCUUGUUCAGAAGGACCCGUGUCCUCUCCUCAACUGGGAAUCUCGAUCGUUCUCUGUCUGCAAUCCAAGCAGUUAGCUCACCCCGUGUGAAAGGGUUAUUUACAAACGGUCCCCAGGACUUUGCAUUUCCCUUUUCCUAUGCGUGAGUGCGUCUGGGUGUGGGGGGGAAGGCCUAGGUUUGGUUCUGAGGACCAACUUUGGGUUGAACCCAACCUUAAAAGUCCCCCAACAUAGGAAUUCCUCUAAGAAGCACUUCUAGACCACACACUUGAUUUCGCGCCUCCUUUUAAACCCUUUCUUUUUUGUGAAGUGAAAUCUUUGACUUUUCCUUCAUUCUCUAACCUUCCCUUCCUAUAGCAUCAGGUGUAUCUAUUUUUAUUUCUCAUGAGUAUCAAUUUCAUCGUCUCUUGUUUUUGUCACACUUUGUACUCAAAACUGCCUAAUAAUUCAAGGUAAAAUUCAGAAGCCUUGGCUUAUCAUUCAAGGCCCAUCACAGUCUUCAAUCCCCUCCCAACUUGUUUGUAUAAAAUUCACCCUCCCUCCAUCCAUCUAUCCAUCCAUUCAUUCAGCGACUUUAUUGAAUACCUAACAAGUGUCAAACACUGUAUUGUGUGUUACUAACAGAGUGACAACACAGGCAGGCCUGGUCCCUCUUCUCAUGGACCUUACAGUCUGGUGGCAAAAUGGGACAAUAAACAUGAUCUUGCAGAGUGACAAGGUCUACGAGCAGAAAGCACAGGCUGCUAUGAGAGAACAGAGGAGGGACAUGGAACCCAGACCCGGAGGCCACGGGGCUCUGCGAGGAAGCGAUAUCUAGGCUGCAGUCUGACCUGUGAAUAGCAGCCAGCCAGGUGAACGACAGGGGAGAAGUUCUCUUGGGGAAUGAAACACCUCGGCUGAAGCCCAGAGGUGGCAUGCCAUAGCACACCUGGGGGCGGAAGGAGGUUCCACGUAGCUGGAGGGCAGAGUGGGGGAGGGCUGGGCAAGUGGGGCUUGGGGACAGAAAAACGCCUAGUGAGUUAGGACUUUGUUCUAAGAUCAGUGAGGAACCACUGUGGGGUUUUAGUAGGUAAGAAAACUGAUAAGACUUAUCUUUUUAAAAGAUUAUUCUUAUCGACUAUACUUCAAUUAAAAAAAGAAAACCGAUAAGCUAAGUUAUAUUUAUAUCAAAUUUUUUUCUUACUAUUACUAAAACAAACUCUGUCAAUAUCACUUAAAAAUUUUUUUUAAAAAUUAUCAGAAGAAAAGAUUAUUCUUGUUCCCUUGAGGACAGUGGAUUAGAAGUGGGCAAGAUAAAGAGACUAGAAGCCCAGUUGGAGGCUGCCAUCCAGACAAGAGGUGACUGUAGGAACCAGGACCCUGGAAGAGAGAACAAGAGUUACAGACGGAGGUAGUUGUCAGGCUGGGUCUGAAUGUCACGUGAUGGCAUUCACGCAAUACGUUCUUUCCCAGGUAAGCCUUUCCCCUUGCUCCUUCUGUCCACAGAUUCAAGUUCUACCCACAGCGAUACUAUCUCUAUGUGAAGCCUUCUCUGACUUUCCAGCCCCAGUACCUGUAUGAAUGCUUGUAAGGUUUUUUUCUGUGUGCUUUUAAUUUCAGAAAGAGAAAUAAUUUACAAUGCUGGUUCUUGUUUCCUUAGUGUAUUUGUUUUCUCAAGUUGAUGGCAAGCAAUAUGAGCAGAAACCAUGGUGAUACAUCUUUUUACCUCCCUCCCCCUCAGCAUUUCCCACUUCAUCUUGUGCAAGAGCCAGACCCCUUCUCCUGUUUGCCAUAUAAAAUGAGGAUUGAAUGUACUGGAAACUAAGCACAGCUUAGCACAUGGUACCCAGAUGACCCAUCUAAUGGCAUGGAUGGGACUAAGGUGUGGAACGAUUCCUUUGGCUUCCUAAGCAGAAGGAAGUUAGCCAUAUGUAGUUGGCAAGUGCCUUGCCCAAGAAAUUUAAAUUUGGUAUUUGCAUGUUUCUGGGCUGAGUUAACCCUGUCUUGUUUUUUAAACAGUUUCUGAUGUUUACCCAGUAGAAGGAGAAUUAAAUGGCACCGGAUACACCAAAAUGCAUGAAUGAGAAGAAUGAAGAAUGAGUCCUAAUGCAAAGUUCUUAAUGUAAAGGAAAAGUGUGGCUUUUGCCCCUGCUGCCUGCUCAGAGCUCAGUCUGCCACCACCUUGCACUCCACCCCGCCAGGAAUGGGCACUGGGCUAACUGUGGUUUGGGAGGGAAGCUUCUCAGUUCCAAGAUUCUUCUGAACUGUGUUUGCUGUGAUUUUUAUGCUAUGCUAGCAUUGCAUCCAAGCUCUUUUUUUUGGCAAAGAAGUUGCCAUAUAUGAUUAAAAAUAAUUUCGGUGGUAGGGGGGUGGGCAGGAGUUCUACCAGGAAUUGAACAAACAAUGUACUGUCUUAA